rnacentral:rRNA from 1 species
UACAGAGGUCCCAAGCGUUGUUCGGAUUCAUUGGGCGUAAAGGGUGCGUAGGCGGCGCGGUAAGUCGGGUGUGAAAUCUCGGAGCUUAACUCCGAAACUGCAUUCGAUACUGCCGUGCUUGAGGACUGGAGAGGAGACUGGAAUUUACGGUGUAGCGGUGAAAUGCGUAGAUAUCGUAAGGAAGACCAGUGGCGAAGGCGGGGUCUCUGGACAGUUCCUGACGCUGAGGCACGAAGGCCAGGGGGAGCAAACGGGG